rnacentral:rRNA from 1 species
UACGUAGGGGGCUAGCGUUGUCCGGAAUCAUUGGGCGUAAAGAGCGCGUAGGCGGCCCGAUAAGUCCGCUGUGAAAGUCAAAGGGCUCAACCCUUGAAUGCCGGUGGAUACUGUCGGGCUAGAGUCCGGAAGAGGCGAGUGGAAUCCUGGUGUAGCGGUGAAAUGCGCAGAUAUCAGGAGGAACACCAAUGGCGAAGGCAGCUCGCUGGGACGGGUACUGACGCUGAGGCGCGAAAGCGUGGGGGAGCAAACAGGA